AUGUCUUUUGAGUACCUUCGUUUCCUCGGCGGGUCCGCCCGCCGAUUGGACAAACUUAAACCCUUUGUAAUUGAAAUCAGCGUCUGAAAAAACAUAAUAGUUACAACUUUCAACAACGGAGCUCUUGGUUCUGGCAUCGAUGAAGAACGCAGCGAAAUGCGAUAAGUAGUGUGAAUUGCAGAAUUCAG
rnacentral:rRNA from 1 species